rnacentral:rRNA from 1 species
AGUGAACGCUGGCGGUAGGCCUAACACAUGCAAGUCGAACGGCAGCACAGUAAGAGCUUGCUCUUACGGGUGGCGAGUGGCGGACGGGUGAGGAAUACAUCGGAAUCUACUUUUUCGUGGGGGAUAACGUAGGGAAACUUACGCUAAUACCGCAUACGACCUACGGGUGAAAGCAGGGGAUCUUCGGACCUUGCGCGAUUGAAUGAGCCGAUGUCGGAUUAGCUAGUUGGCGGGGCAAAGGCCCACCAAGGCGACGAUCCGUAGCUGGUCUGAGAGGAUGAUCAGCCACACUGGAACUGAGACACGGUCCAGACUCCUACGGGAGGCAGCAGUGGGGAAUAUUGGACAAUGGGCGCAAGCCUGAUCCAGCCAUACCGCGUGGGUGAAGAAGGCCUUCGGGUUGUAAAGCCCUUUUGUUGGGAAAGAAAAGCAGUAGGUUAAUACCCCGCUGUUCUGACGGUACCCAAAGAAUAAGCACCGGCUAACUUCGUG